GGCAGCACAGAGCCGGAUGAGACAGGGCUGCCUCAAGCUGCUGGGUCUCUCGGAAUCAGAGGUCCCGCAAAACAAGCCCCUCUUGUAGGGCCUGGCAUGGAGGGCUGAACUCUGACCAGGCCCACUCCACUGUGGGGAGGCAAGCCCAUGUGCUGGGCAGCACACCCACCCUCUUCCGUUCCCUUUGGGGAUCCUCAGUGGCACCCCUGGGUGCCUGGCCCUGCCCUAGAUGCAAAGGUAUGCAGUAGGCAGACAAACAGAACCAAUGCUAAAAGAUCCAGGCACCACUGACAUGAAGAAAUGGACCAGCAUGGUCAGCCUGGCCUAAGGAGAGAGGAUCCGUCAGGCACCGAGGAACUUGGACCAUCCCUAAUCCUGGGAGUGUUGUGGGGUGCAAGUGGGGAGUAUGCUGGAGUAUGCUGGAGUAUGUUGGAGUAUGCUGGAGUAUGCUGGG